CGAGAAGUUCCACUAUCAGGCUCUGGUCCGUCACGGGAUGGCAGAAAACUUCUUGAUUGUCCGGGACCGGUCGGAGGUCGCUGGAGUGAGGUCUCGCUGUGUCGCCCAGGCUGUAAUGCAGUGGCGCGAUCACCGCUCACUGCAGUCUCCACCUCCAGGACUCAAGUGAUACUCCUGCCUCAGCCUCUUGAGUGGCUCCUGCUCCCGCCACCACGCCCGGCUAAAUUUUUAAUUACUUGUAGAAAUGGGGCGGGGUGGGGAGUGUCUCCCAAUCUUGCCCAGGCUGGCCUCAAACUCCUGGACUCAAGCGAUCCUCCCGCCUCGGCUCCCUAAGUGCUGGAAUUACAGGCGAGA
rnacentral:lncRNA from 1 species